rnacentral:rRNA from 1 species
GACGAACGCUGGCGGCGUGCUUAACACAUGCAAGUCGAACGGAAAGGCCCCUUUGGGGGUACUCUAGUGGUGAACGGGUGAGUAACACGUGAGUAACCUGCCCUUGCCUUCGGGACAACUUCAGGAAACUGGGGCUAAUACCGGAUAGGAAUCCUUGCUGCAUGGUGGGGGUUGGAAAGCUUCGGCGGUCUUGGAUGGACUCGCGGCUUAUCGGCUUGUUGGUGGGGUAGUGGCUUACCAAGGCUUUGACGCGAAGCCGCACUGAGAGGGCGACCGGCCGCACUGAGACUGAGGGGCGGCCCAAGUGCGGAAGGGAGGCAAAAGUGGGGAAUAUUGCACCAUCGGCGGAGGCCGGGUGAAGAAGCGCCGCGUGCGGGAUAACGGCCUUCAGGGUGAAGAACACUUUCAGCAGGAGCGAAGCUUGUGGUGACGGUACCUGAAGAAGAAGCACCGGCUAACUACGUG